AUUGUCAAGUGUGUGCUGUAAAGUUAGCUUCGUAUUGUGAAGUUAUUUUACCAUAAUUAUUUGCUCUGUGGGCUGCAUUGUUAACGUCUCUCCUUUUAGGAUCUCACCCAAAAUAAGUAAUUACUCGCUUUCUUUUCAAAUUCAAACGUGUGUAUCAGUGGGAGAAUAGUGUUUUUGCAAGAGUCGUUUCUUCAUAUGAGAAAUCCUUCUAUCAAAGACUAGAAGUGGUCAAGCAUUGCCCUGCUGUCCAAGACUUCACUGAGAGAUGCUCUGUUAAGUGAAGCUCAGAUCAAAGAAGAGUUCAGAAGGAUAACAGCAAUACAUCUGGGGUGGACCUUUUUCU